GUAACAAGGUCUCCGUUGGUGAACCAGCGGAGGGAUCAUUACCGAGUUUACAACUCCCAAACCCCAAUGUGAACGUUACCAAUCUGUUGCCUCGGCGGGAUUCUCUUGCCCCGGGCGCGUCGCAGCCCCGGAUCCCAUGGCGCCCGCCGGAGGACCAACUCCAAACUCUUUUCUCUCUCCGUCGCGGCUCCCGUCGCGGCUCUGUUUUAUUUUUGCUCUGAGCCUUUCUCGGCGACCCUAGCGGGCGUCUCGAAAAUGAAUCAAAACUUUCAACAACGGAUCUCUUGGUUCUGGCAUCGAUGAAGAACGCAGCGAAAUGCGAUAAGUAAUGUGAAUUGCAGAAUUCAGUGAAUCAUCGAAUCUUUGAACGCACAUUGCGCCCGCCAGUAUUCUGGCGGGCAUGCCUGUCCGAGCGUCAUUUCAACCCUCGAACCCCUCCGGGGGGUCGGCGUUGGGGAUCGGCCCCUCACCGGGCCGCCCCCGAAAUACAGUGGCGGUCUCGCCGCAGCCUCUCAUGCGCAGUAGUUUGCACACUCGCACCGGGAGCGCGGCGCGGCCACAGCCGUAAAACACCCCAAAUUUUCUGAAAUGUUGACCUCGGAUCAGGUAGGAAUACCCGCUGAACUUAAGCAUAUCA
rnacentral:misc_RNA from 1 species